rnacentral:rRNA from 1 species
AACGAACGCUGGCGGCAUGCCUAACACAUGCAAGUCGAACGAGACCUUCGGGUCUAGUGGCGCACGGGUGCGUAACGCGUGGGAACCUGCCCUUAGGUUCGGAAUAACUCCCCGAAAGGGGUGCUAAUACCGGAUAAUGUCUUCGGACCAAAGAUUUAUCGCCUUUGGAUGGGCCCGCGUUGGAUUAGCUAGUUGGUAGGGUAAAAGCCUACCAAGGCGACGAUCCAUAGCUGGUCUGAGAGGAUGAUCAGCCACACUGGGACUGAGACACGGCCCAGACUCCUACGGAAGGCAGCAGUGGGGAAUAUUGGACAAUGGGCGAAAGCCUGAUCCAGCAAUGCCGCGUGAGUGAUGAAGGCCUUAGGGUUGUAAAGCUCUUUUACACGGGAUGAUAAUGACAGUACCGGGAGAAUAAGCUCCGGCUAACUCCGUG